rnacentral:rRNA from 1 species
UACAGAGGGUGCAAGCGUUAAUCGGAAUUACUGGGCGUAAAGCGUGCGUAGGUGGAUAUUUAAGUUGGAUGUAAAAGCCCUGAGCUUAACUUGGGAAGGACAUCUGAAACUGGAUAUCUUGAGUACAAUAGAGGGAAGCGGAAUUUCCGGUGUAGCGGUGAAAUGCGUAGAUAUCGGAAAGAACACCAGUGGCGAAGGCGGCUUCCUGGAUUGAUACUGACACUGAGGUACGAAAGCGUGGGGAGCGAUCAGG